UACUUGGUUGAUCCUGCCAAGGAAGCACACUUAGGUCAUAGAUUAAGCCAUGCAAGUGUUAGUUCAGGUAACGAAACUGCGAAUAGCUCAUUAAUACGCUCAGAAUCUAUUUGGCGGCGACCAACAGGUCUUAAAUGGAUAGCAGCAGCAACUCUGGUGCUAAUACAUGCGAUUGUUUCUCCAGAUGUGAAUUAUGGAGGAAAAGUUGACCUCAUCAGAGGCACGCCAUUCGACUGAGUGACCUAUCAGCUUGUACUUAGGGUCUUUACCUAGGUAGGCUAUCACGGGUAACGGGCGGUUACCGUCGGACUGCCGGAGAAGGCGCCUGAGAGAUAGCGACUAUAUCCACGGGUAGCAGCAGGCGCGAAACUUUCCCACUCGAGACUUUCGGAGGAGGUAAUGACCAGUUCCAUUGGUGCCUUUUGGUACUGUGGAUAGGGGUACGGUUUUCCACCGUACCGAAACCUAGCAGAGGGCCAGUCUGGUGCCAGCAGCUGCGGUAAUUCCAGCUCUGCGAGUUUGCUCCCAUAUUGUUGCAGUUAAAACGCCCGUAGUCUGAAUUGGCCAGCAAUGGUCGUACGUAUUUUUACGUUCACUGUGAACAAAUCAGGACGCUUAGAGUAUGGCCACAUGAAUGACUCAGCGCAGUAUGAAGUCUUUGUUUUCUUCCGAAAACAAGCUCAAUGAGAGCCAUCGGGGGUAGAUCUAUCUCAUGACGAGUGGUGGAAUACUUUGACUCAUGAGAGAGAAGCUGAGGCGAAGGCGUCUACCUAGAGGGUUUCUGUCGAUCAAGGGCGAGAGUAGGAGUAUCCAACAGGAUUAGAGACCCUGGUAGUUCCUACCUUAACGAUGCCGACAGGAGUUUGUCAUUUUGUUAAUGGCAGAAUC
rfam:Trichomonas vaginalis G3, whole genome shotgun sequence.